CUCUUAUGAUGAUACACUUACUUUUCAGUUCUGCUUCUGAACCAAAAAUUCAUGAAGAUAACCCUUUACCAAAGCUCAAAUAUCUGAUUU
rnacentral:snoRNA from 1 species